rnacentral:rRNA from 1 species
UACGGAGGGUGCAAGCGUUAUCCGGAUUUACUGGGGUUAAAGGGUGCGUAGGUGAGUCUGUAAGUCAGUGGUGAAAUCUUCAAGCUUAACUUGGAAACUGCCAUUGAUACUAUAGAUCUUGAAUUAUCUGGAGGUAAGCGGAAUAUGUCAUGUAGCGGUGAAAUGCUUAGAUAUGACAUAGAACACCCAUUGCGAAGGCAGCUUGCUACACAAUUAUUGACACUGAGGCACGAAAGCGUGGGGAUCAAACAGG